CGGCGGACGGGUGAGUAACGCGUGGGUAACCUGCCUCAUACAGGGGGAUAACAGUUAGAAAUGACUGCUAAUACCGCAUAAGACCACGGUACCGCAUGGUACAGUGGUAAAAACUCCGGUGGUAUGAGAUGGACCCGCGUCUGAUUAGCUAGUUGGUGGGGUAACGGCCUACCAAGGCGACGAUCAGUAGCCGACCUGAGAGGGUGACCGGCCACAUUGGGACUGAGACACGGCCCAA
rnacentral:rRNA from 1 species